CCGCGCGGCGGGGGACACGCGUGGGCCCAUCGGGAGCCCCGGCCGGGGCACCCGCCCUGUGCCGCACCCCGGCCGGGAGGAGCAGACACCCUGCUCCCGCGCUGAGCUGAGCCCUGCCGGGUGUCCUGCUGUGCCAAGGUUUUCAGCUGUCGCCAAAGCUUUGUAAUUGACAAGACUAAAAAUCACCUCUAACAGCCACCAACAUGGUUACCUACUCAGGUGUCAGUGGUUUAAACAAGACAUCAGGCCAAUUCCUACAAUACCCCUCUGCUGCUUGCACAGAAGAAUGGUUGGUGAAGAAGCUCUCUCUCAAGUCCAGGUCACAAACGACAUGUAUCUGCACUGAAUACUUAAUGCAGGGACUAAGUGGUAUUCAAGACAUCAGAAGAGAUUUUUCGCUAUGAUGAGAUUCAAUCCAACCUGCAAAUGAACUCCAAAGUCUUGGCCUUUCUGUUUUUGCCCUUCCUGUGUGGCACAUGAAAACCAGAAAAACAGCUGUGGUUGACCUUGGGCUGGGUUCAUUGUAGCACUGUCACCGCCGGUGCUUUACCACC